AAGUCCGCAGUCCGCACUGUCAUCUUUGUUCUCAGGCAGCAAGCAGAAGCACCCCCAAACUUGGAACUUCAUGGCGAUGUUACUCCAUCUCCUUCUCCUAGUUAUCCUCUGUUUAGCUUCGAAUCGAGUGACAUCUGAACUCGUAUUGGAGGAGGGAUAUACAGUGUCGACCAUACUCGACGGUAACAAACUACGUGUUAACCCUUCAUCCGUCCUCCCCCGACCCGGAACUCAUGACCUUAUCAUCCUCGACUCCUCUGGCAAUGCCUUCUACACUGUUUCGUCCCCUUUCUCUCAAGAUUGUGAGGUCAGGCAGUUAGCGGGAAAUGGUUCUCGCGGAUUCUCUGAUGGAGAUUCCGUUUCUGCAAUGUUCAGUCAUCCACGGAGCUUUGCUGUUGAUCUCAAGGGAAAUAUUUACGUCGCUGAUAGGUCCAACCAUGCUAUACGGAAGAUUAGCAAGUCAGGUGUUACUACUAUUGCUGGAGGCUACUCAAAGGGUCCAGGGAAAAUGGAUGGACCUGCACAGAGUGCAUCUUUCUCAGAAGAUUUUGAGCUUAUCUUCAUAUCUGAAAGAUGCUCCUUAUUGAUUUCUGAUCGUGGAAAUAGGUUGGUCCGAGAAAUGAUUCUGAAGCAUGAGGAUUGUGCGCAUUCUCAAUUAAAGCUGGGAUCAACCUGGGUCUGGGCGCUUGGACUGGGAAUUGCAUGUUUACUAAGCCUGGCAAUGUGGCUUGCAGCUCAUCGGUUUCUCGCUCGCGACGUCUUCAGCCCUCACUGUUUCAGCAAGACAUGGAAGCAUUGCCAAAUCAUUCUGGGGACUCAAGUAGUGAUAAUCUUCUCCGACAUCAGAAGCGCAGUUGCUAGCUCAACUCCUUGGGCAUUUUUGCUUAGGCUUGCUGGGCUGAUUCAGUCUCAUGUUUGUCUAAUAUUUAAGAUUCAUAAAGUAGAAAAUCAGAAGAUUUGUAGGGAGCCUGUUUACUCGCUUGAUUUGGAUGUUUCAUGUCACCAUCAGUUGUCAAAAGAACAAAUCUUAGCUGACCAAUUGAAGGAUAUGAUUAGUUUUGAUGGUGAGCCGGAUACAUCCAUGGUUCUGAAGGAAGACCUCCAGAAAGGAGAUGAGGAACAUGAAAACAGUGAUGUCUCAACUUACGAUGGUGGAAUAUUAGAUGGAAUGAUACAAGCUGCCAUUAUGGAUUUCACUCGCCAGGAAAGCCCAUCAGAGCGGUCUCUGUCUGCUGGUUGGAUAGUUAAGAGGAGAUAAAGAUAAGCUGAGGAUGGCUUUCUUCAAUGAAACUUUAUGCACUCAGACUCUUGUUUGCUACAGCCAAGCAAUUCCAACAAACUGGCCAUCCAAUUUCACUAGACAACUCACCACAGAUUCCAACUACGCUGCUCUGGCAAAAGGACAAAGAACAAGUGAUCCACAUCCUCCACCCAGUCACACAUGGUUUUGGAGCGGAAAACAAAAUAUUGCAAUUUCUUUAAUCUUGUGGAGCAGUCCACACAGCAUUAAUUGGAUGAUUGCUGAAAUAUUUUAUUUAAAAUUUGGGUUCGACUAUGAUACCCGGAAAA